CCACCGCGGUUAUACGAGAGGCCCUAGUUGAUUCACUCGGCGUAAAGAGUGGUUAUGGAGAAUAAAAUACUAAAGCCGAAGGCCCCUUAGGCCGUCAUACGCACCUAGAGGCUCGAAUUAUAGACACGAAAGUAGCUUUACCCCUUCCCACCAGAACCCACGACAGCUGGGACACAAACUGGGAUUAGAUACCCCACUAUGCCCCGCCGUAAACUUAGAUAUUCCAGUACAACAAAUAUCCGCCAGGGGACUACGAGCGCCAGCUUAAAACCCAAAGGACUUGGCGGUGCUUCAGACCCCCCUAGAGGAGCCUGUUCUAGAACCGAUAACCCCCGUUCAACCUCACUACUCCUUGCUUUUCCCGCCUAUAUACCACCGUCGCCAGCUUACCCUGUGAAGGUACUACAGUAAGCAGAAUGAGUAAUACUCAAAACGUCAGGUCGAGGUGUAGCGUACGAAGUAGGAAGAAAUGGGCUACAUUAUCUGAUCCAGAUUAUUCACGGAAGAUUGUCUGAAACGACAAUCCGAAGGUGGAUUUAGCAGUAAAGGGGGAAUAGAGUGCCCCCUUGAAGCCGGCUCUGAAGCGCGCACACACCGCCCGUCACUCUCCCCAACAACCGCCCACACCAAGGUAAAUAACACAACACCCGUCACAAGGGGAGGCAAGUCGUAACAUGGUAAGUG
rnacentral:rRNA from 1 species